GUGCUCACUUCCGCAACACAUAUACUAAUAUUGGAAUGACACGGAGAUGAUCAGCAUGGCUCCUGAGCAAGGAUGACAUGCAAAUUUGUGAAGCAUUCCAUAAGUAA
rnacentral:snRNA from 1 species